UAGGGAAUCUUCCACAAUGGACGCAAGUCUGAUGGAGCAACGCCGCGUGAGUGAGGACGGUCUUCGGAUACGUAAAACUCUGUUGUUAGAGAAGAACACGAGUGAGAGUAACUGUUCAUUCGAUGACGGUAUCUAACCAGCAAGUCACGGCUAACUACGUGUCAG
rnacentral:rRNA from 1 species